ACCUGCUGGAAGCUGUGCUAAGGUAAAUAAAUAGUUGAUUGGUGACCCCAACAUCCAACACAGCUUCACUAAGGGAAAAUUGUGCCAAAAAAUUUGAUGGCCGUCUAUGACAGGGCAAGAGUGUUGAUGGGUAAGGGAAGAACAAGUGCCAUCAUCCACCUGGACUUGAACAAAAUAUUUGACACUGUCCUUCACAACUCCUUGUCUCUGAAUUGGAGAGGCAGGGAUUUGGCGGGUGGAUCACUCAGUGGAUAGGGAAUUGGCAAGAUGGUCACACUGAAAGAGCCUUUGUCAGUUUUGUCAGUGGUUCACUGUCCAAGUGGAGGCCUAUAACAAGUGUUACUUCCUUUGUCAGUGAUUCACUUUCCAAGUGGAGGCCUAUAACAAGUGUUACUUCUCAGGGGUCAGUACUGGGAAUGGUGCUCUUCAACAUCUUUGUCAGUGACAUGGGAAUUAAAUCUGGUGCACUCUCAGAAAGUUUGCUGACAGCACCAAGGUGGUGUGGUGUGGUGUGGUGUGUGGUGUGUGGUGUGUGGUGUGGUGUGGUGUGUGUGAUGUGUGUGGUGUGUGGUGUGGUGUGUGGUGCGGUCAGUGAUCUGGAGGGAAGAGUUGCCAUGGAGAAAGAUUAUGGAGCAGCGAGAAAACACAGCAACAAGACACUUUCUUGCUUGGUGCAGAAAAGAGCAAGAAAGAGCAAAGAGCAAUUUAUUGAAGGAAGCCAUUGCCUUAAAUAAGGCAGUUUGUGCAAAACAAAAUACAAACAGAUCAUUGGUCAGAGAAAGAGACACCUUUUGUCCCAGGCUUUCCCAUGGACCU
rnacentral:lncRNA from 12 species